AUACGUAGGGUGCAAGCGUUAAUCGGAAUUACUGGGCGUAAAGCGUGCGCAGGCGGUUUUGUAAGACAGAGGUGAAAUCCCCGGGCUCAACCUGGGAACUGCCUUUGUGACUGCAAGGCUAGAGUACGGCAGAGGGGGAUGGAAUUCCGCGUGUAGCAGUGAAAUGCGUAGAUAUGCGGAGGAACACCGAUGGCGAAGGCAAUCCCCUGGGCCUGUACUGACGCUCAUGCACGAAAGCGUGGGGAGCAAACAGGAUUAGAUACCCUGGUAGUCCACGCCCUAAACGAUGUCAACUGGUUGUUGGGUCUUCAUUGACUCAGUAACGAAGCUAACGCGUGAAGUUGACCGCCUGGGGAGUACGGCCGCAAGGAUGAAACUCAAAUGAAUUGACGGGG
rnacentral:rRNA from 1 species